AGUGAACGCUGGCGGUAGGCCUAACACAUGCAAGUCGAACGGCAGCACAGUAAGAGCUUGCUCUUACGGGUGGCGAGUGGCGGACGGGUGAGGCAUACAUCGGAAUCUACUUUUUCGUGGGGGAUAACGUAGGGAAACUUACGCUAAUACCGCAUACGACCUACGGGUGAAAGCAGGGGAUCUUCGGACCUUGCGCGAUUGAAUGAGCUGAUGUCGGAUUAGCUAGUUGGCGGGGUAAAGGCCCACCAAGGCGACGAUCCGUAGCUGGUCUGAGAGGAUGAUCAGCCACACUGGAACUGAGACACGGUCCAGACUCCUACGGGAGGCAGCAGUGGGGAAUAUUGGACAAUGGGCGCAAGCCUGAUCCAGCCAUACCGCGUGGGUGAAGAAGGCCUUCGGGUUGUAAAGCCCUUUUGUUGGGAAAGAAAAGCAGCAGGUUAAAACCCCGCUGUUCUGACGGUACCCAAAGAAUAAGCACCGGCUAACUUCGUG
rnacentral:rRNA from 1 species